AUUGAACGCUGGCGGCGUGCUUAACACAUGCAAGUCGAUCGGUAACAGGUGUAGCAAUACAUGCUGACGAGAGGCGGACGGGUGAGGAACGCUUGGGAAUCUGCCUAUCAGCGGGGGACAACCCGGGGAAACCCGGGCUAAUACCGCAUACGCUCUACGGAGGAAAGCCGGGGACCGCAAGGCCUGGCACUGAUAGAUGAGCCCAAGUCGGAUUAGCUAGUUGGCGGGGUAACGGCCCACCAAGGCGACGAUCCGUAGCUGGUCUGAGAGGACGAUCAGCCACACCGGAACUGGGAGACGGUCCGGGCUCCUACGGGAGGCGGCAGGGGGGAAUAUUGGACAAUGGGCGAAAGCCUGAUCCAGCGACGCCGCGUGGGUGAAGAAGGCCUGCGGGUUGUAAAGCCCUUUCGGUAGGGACGAAAGCUCUCGACCUAACACGUCGGGAGGUUGACUUAACCUACAAAAGAAGCACCGGCUAACUCUGUGCCAGCAGCAGCCGCCGUAA
rnacentral:rRNA from 1 species